AGAGUUUGAUCCUGGCUCAGAAUCAACGCUGGCGGCGCGCUUAACACAUGCAAGUCGCACGAGAAAGGGAGCAAUCCUGAGUAAAGUGGCGUACGGGUGAGUAACACGUGGAUCAUCUACCUUUUAGUGGGGAAUACCCCCGGGAAACUGGGGACAAUACCGCAUAAGCUCGAGAGAGGAAAGCAGCAAUGCGCUGAAAGAGGAGUCCGCGGCUGAUUAUGCUAGUUGGCGGGGUAAUGGCCCACCAAGGCGAAGAUCGGUAGCCGGCCUGAGAGGGCUCACGGCCACACUGGCACUGAAAUACGGGCCAGACUCCUACGGGAGGCAGCAGUGGGGAAUCUUGCACAAUGGAGGAAACUCUGAUGCAGCGACGCCGCGUGAGCGAUGAAGCCCUUCGGGGUGUAAAGCUCUUUCGACGGGAACGAUAAUGACGGUACCCGAAGAAGAAGCUGCGGCUAACUACGUGCCAGCAGCCGCGGUAAUACGUAGGCAGCAAGCGUUGUUCGGAAUUACUGGGCGUAAAGAGUGUGUAGGCGGUGCUCUAAGUCUGUUGUGAAAUCUCCCGGCUUAACUGGGAGGGUGCGGCGGAAACUGGAGUGCUUGAGGGUGGGAGAGGUAAGCGGAAUUCCCGGUGUAGCGGUGAAAUGCGUAGAUAUCGGGAGGAACACCUGUGGUGUAGACAGCUUACUGGACCACUUCUGACGCUGAGACACGAAAGCGUGGGUAGCAAACAGGAUUAGAUACCCUGGUAGUCCACGCCCUAAACGAUGCAUACUUGGUGUGAGCGAUUCAUUUCGUUC
rnacentral:rRNA from 1 species